CCCUUUUGUCUCCCUCUUCCACGUGUUUUCAUUCCUCCCCCAUCAUUUCCACUAAUUCCUCCUUUUUAGGAGAGUGGUUUUCCUUUUCCCUAACUUCCUCCAAUUUUCCUUUAAUUUAAUCUCUUUAAAUCAGUCAUAAAAGAGAUCAAUAACUGCUCAAUAACUGCUCCUGGAAACUUUCACAGCCCAUGGAAAACUCCCCACUCUGCCUGUGUUCUUCUCUGUUCCUCUUGCCAAAUCCUGACGUGAAUCCACAGGUUGUGGUAGAAACCACAACUCACUUGUGAAGCUCUCUGUUUUGCCACUGCAUUUUGAAGCAAACUCCACAGGUUAUGGAACUGUCCCCAGCUGCGUUGUUGAACUCUCUGGAUUCAUCUUUC
rnacentral:lncRNA from 1 species